CUCACGGAAAAUAAUGCUAGUUUCCGUGUCUAAAUUUGACUGUCCGUCUUAUAUGAAAUUUUUUUAUAAUUCAUAUUUUCAUUGUUGUUAUAUGAUAAAACAUGAUUAAUAUUUUAUGCGUGACUUGUCUUUUUAAUUUUUUUUAUAAUUUUUUCAAAUAAGACGGACGGUCAAACGUUGGACACGGAAAUCAGGGUUUGUCUUUUU
rfam:Oryza barthii chromosome 1, whole genome shotgun sequence.